rnacentral:misc_RNA from 1 species
UUUCCGUAGGUGAACCUGCGGAAGGAUCAUUAUUCAUGGAGGACGCCCCGCCGUCCGCCCCCGACUCGUCGGGACCCCCUGUUUUAUUGAGCACCGCCCGUUUCCUCGGUGGGUACGCCCGCCAGCGAGGACAAACCGAAACCUUUUGCAAUGAGCAGUACGUCGGCAAGAAAACGAAUCUCACAACUUUCAACAAUGGAUCUCUUGGCUCUGGCAUCGAUGAAGAACGCAGC